GCCUUCGUGGUGUAGUGGUCAGCACGCUCCUCGCGUAACCGAGAGGUCCGUGGUUCGAUUCCCGGGGAAGGCA
rnacentral:tRNA from 1 species